GGUUUGCGGCGUUUCUUUCUCUUUCCGUGUUAGAAGUUCAACGAGGCAACACGUACGUGUUCGGCCCGUCGUGAGCAAAAAUGGUGAACCACCGUAUUCCUUCGGUCUUCUCCAAGACCUACGUUACUCCCCGUCGUCCGUUCGAAAAGCCACGUCUCGAUGCGGAAUUGAAGAUUAUUGGCCAGUACGGCCUGCGUAACAAGCGUGAGGUAUGGCGUGUGAAGUACACGCUUGCCAAGAUCCGCAAGGCUGCUCGUGAGUUGCUCACGCUGGAAGAGAAGGAUGAGAAGCGCCUGUUCCAAGGUAACGCCCUGCUGCGUCGUCUGGUUCGCAUCGGUGUGCUGGAUGAGUCCCGCAUGAAGCUCGAUUACGUGCUCGGCUUGAGAAUUGAGGAUUUCCUUGAGCGCCGUCUGCAGACCCAGGUGUUCAAGCUGGGAUUGGCCAAGUCGUACCAUCACGCCCGCGUUCUGAUCCGCCAGCGUCACAUUCGUUCUCUAGAGAGAUUUUGCGCUGGCCCCGUGCCGCCGCAAAUGAUCGUGAGUGCCACUUAGAAUCAGAAGAGUCGCAAGAUUUUUCGGUUUCUAACGCCUCACAUACAUACGUACACACGAAAAACAAGUUCAGUGACACGGCUUUACUUGUACGAUGAAGCAGUUUCCUGGUUGGUCACCAACGCGAAUUGGCGAUCAUUGGAUCUAUUCACUGCAAGAAUAAGCCAUUAAGAACUUGAUGAUUCGUGCUGAAACGUACUCGCCGAUCCAUGGAAGCAAGAAUCAGAUGUAUUUCUUCCACAUGCGCGAUGCAUUGAGGAUCACUGGAAGGUUUUACUGUUGUAUCGAUUCGGAACGAGUGUCCGCAAGCAGGUCGUGAACGUUCCUUCGUUCAUCGUCCGUCUGGAUUCGCAGAAGCACAUCGACUUCUCGCUGAAGUCGCCCUUCGGUGGUGGCCGUCCAGGUCGCGUCAAGAGGAAGAACCUGAAGAAGGGCCAGGGUGGCGGCGG